UCCUCCCCCCGCUCCCGGAGGGAUAGGGAAGAGAAUCAAAAGAAUGUAACUCCCACAGGCUGAGGUAAGAGCAGUCCAGUAACUAAGGUAUAACACAAAUCAUUACUGCUACCACCAAUAAUAAUAAUGAUAAGGGAAAUAACAAGGGAAGAGAAUACAACUGCUCACCACCUGCUGACGGACACCCAGCCCGACUGAGCAGUGAUCUAGCUCUUCUGGGUGACUCCCCCCAGUUUCUGUACUGGGCAUGACAUGCUAUUAAAUGGAAUACCUCUUUGGCUAGUUCGGGUCAGGUGCCCUGUCUCUGCUUCCUCCCAGCUUCUUGUGCCCGUCUGCCCUGGCAGAGCAUGAGACUGAAAAGUCCUUGAUCAGGGUAAGUAUUACUUAACAACAACUUAAAACAUCGGUGUGUUAUCAGCAUUCUUUUCAGGCUAAAUUGAAAACAGCACUUUACCACCUACCAAGAAGGAGAAAAAUGAUUGCUACAGCUGACCCAAGGACACAGUAGAACUUCCAGUCUGACUACAAGAAUUAGGUGUAUUAAAGACUUUAUGCACAUUGGAGAAGAAGAAGAGCUGUUGGGAGUGAUCCAGUUCUGAGCCUGUCCCAUUCAAAUUGAUGUCCGGGCUGAUAUUUUAGGGCUCUGUGUUCAUGUGUAGCUCCUCUCUGGCUCAGGGAAUCUGUUACUACAGUCACUUAGGCUGUUAAGCAGGUGUGUGGGAGUCUGCAGUUUUAGACUGAGCACGUUAAUGUCCAGUAAGGGCACAUACAGAUUUCUGGUUGCCCCCCGCCCCUGCCCUUAACCAAAAUGUCAGCUAUUUGCAGGAAGCUGAUAAUUGUAUUUUCUGCUAUAUUUCAUACUGCAUAAAGCAGGGGAGGAAACUAUUUGGAUUAUGGCAGUAGUCUCUUUAAGUGUUAAAAAAGUGGAUUCCAAGACACAAGCCAGCCAUCUUUCAAAUGCUGCUCUGCAUGUUGCUUUGUUGUGGAUUGCUAGAUCUAGAAAGACUGUUGAACUAGCCAAAAAGAGGAAUAUAACGAAGUGUGAAGAAGGAUGAAUAUGACCCAAUGUGGCCUUUAGAUUCUUUGUUCCCUGUUGUGAAUAUGAAAUUAGAAUUUUGCUGCAUUUUCACAACUCUGACCUGUAAGAUGAUGAAGAACUGUUGUGCCUUUUGAGUGACUUCAAAUGGAUGUAUGUGGCAAGCAGGAAGCAGGCACAUGGGGAGGGCAUGUUUUCUGUUACUUGUGAACUCGGGGUUGCUCUGAAUAACAUUUUGUUAGCAGAGUGCUACAUAAGUACUAAGUUUUGCUGUGAGAGGUAAGUGCCCAGUUUGGACUUCAUGUUGCGAGUUUGUGUAUUGUUAUGCAGCAGAGAAAACGCAUCUUUUGAAAAGGAAAAUAAUCUUGAGGUUCACUCUUAGAAAGGUUAUGUUGAAGAUCCUUAAUAUUAGAAGCUGAAAUCUUGUGGAAUUCCUAAUGGUAUUAUUAAGCAAAGAUAGCCUGCUGGCCUGCCAAAGAAGUUAGUUGUGUGUCUCUUCAUUAAAUCAAAGAAGUAGAAGAAAAGAGGGCUGAACUUUUGCCUCUAGCCAAACAUAAUUUUUCACUAUUGUUUUAGCACCUCAUUAGAUUUUAUGUAACAAAGUGUGUGGUAUAGAUCAUGUUGCCUCUCGUUAGAUUAUAAUCUAUUGGGCUAAUUUGGAAAUGGGGCUGUCUUUCCAGUGAGAAUCUGCAUCUUCAUUCCUGUUAAGAAAAUGCCACAGAUCUAAAAUGGUGAUCCCUGUAAAAGUCCCUUAGAAGAUUAUGUCUUGAAUCCUAAAACAGGUGUGUGUGUCUGAGUACAACACAUCUCAUGAAUGUCACUUAAAUAUGUGGAAGGAAGUGGAGAGCAGAACUUUACAAACCUUUUAAUAUAAAUAUCUUCAUAUAAACAUUGAACUGCUGUAAUUGUAGGAAUUGUAUUUGAUCUUGCUAAAGCCAUUUAUGAAAUGGACUGAAAACAUGUCAGUUGUAUAACACUGUUUUUUAAUUGUGUACUUAAAAACAUUAAUUGCUUUUGUAACUCUAGAGGAAGCAAACAAAAGUAUAAACUUCUGUUGAAUCU